UUGUAAUAGAAAGGACACAAUCAGCUCAACAAAAGACUUGUCAUAGAGGGCUCAGAACAGCUGGAUCCCAACCAGCCCAGGCCUCCAGGUAGUGGACCUGCUCAUGGACCAGUAGACAUGUCCCAGUCACGAGCAGAUGGACCAAAACAGCCAUAUCUAAAGGUUUACCCUUGGACCGUGUACAACGACAGGAGACGGGGCUUCAACUAUGUGAUUCUCCAUUCAUAAGUGGUUGGAGUAUAAUAAUUUCCAUGUUUACUGCUUAUUGGUCACACAGAUCCCUGAGUGAGUGAGUGCCCUCUCUUUGCCAUUUUGCCCCUGUAAUUUUGUCUUUGGUCACAAAUAUCGAUAAAAUAAACACAUGAGAAUGUAAAUAAAUGCAAAUUGAUAAUAAAUGUGCAAUCUAAUGGAGAGAAGAGUCAGUGUGCUGAUGUUCAUUAAGGUUGUUUGAGUAGGUCAACGCUGUAGUCGCCAUAUACAUUGAGAGGAACAAGUCUGUUCAGAUAUGCCCAAAAUG